rnacentral:rRNA from 1 species
GGAUGAACGCUGGCGGCGUGCCUAAUACAUGCAAGUCGAACGAGAGCUUUCUUUCGAGGAAGUGAAAGUGGCGACCGGGUGAGUAACACGUAGCUGACCUACCCCUGGCAGGGGGAUAACCCCGGGAAACCGGGGCUAAUACCGCGUAAGCUCGCAGGGAUCAGAAGCCUGUGAGGAAAGCCCUACGGGGCGGCGAGGGCGGGGGCUGCGGGCCAUCAGCUGGCUGGUGGGGUAACGGCCUACCAGGGCGACGACGGCAAGGGGGCCUGAGAGGGUGACCCCCCACACUGGAACUGACACACGGUCCAGACUCCUACGGGAGGCAGCAGUAAGGGAUAUUGGUCAAUGGGCGCAAGCCUGAACCAGCAACGCCGCGUGCGGGAGGAAGGUUUUCGGACUGUAAACCGCUUUUGGCGGGGACGAUGAUGACGGUACCCGCGGAAUAAGUCUCGGCUAACUACGUGCCAGCAGCCGCGGUAAAACGUAGGAGGCGAGCGUUAUCCGGAUUUACUGGGCGUAAAACGCGUGCAGGCGGUGCGAUAAGUCGUGCGUGAAAGCUCCCAGGCUUAACCGGGAGAGGACGUGCGAGACUGUCGGACUAGAGGCAGGUAGAGGCAAGUGGAAUUCCGGGUGUAGUGGUGAAAUGCGUAGAGAUCCGGAGGAACCCCGGUGGCGAAGGCGACUUGCUGGGCCUGAACUGACGCUCAGACGCGAAAGCAUGGGGAGCGAACGGGAUUAGAAACCCCGGUAGUCCAUGCUGUAAACGAUGUGGACUAGGCGUCGCUGGACGUUAGUGCGGCGGUGCCGCAGCCGACGCGGUAAGUCCACCGCCUGGGGAGUACGGCCGCAAGGUUAAAACUCAAAGGAAUUGACGGGGGCCCGCACAAGCAGCGGAGCGUGUGGUUUAAUUCGAGGCUACGCGAAGAACCUUACCUGGGUUUGACAUACAGUGGUAGCGAGUGAAAGCUGAGCGACCUUCGGGAGCCUGACAGUGCUGCAUGCUGUCGUCAGCUCGUGUCGUGAGAU